rnacentral:rRNA from 1 species
GUCUAGAGCCAUACCACCCUGAACAUACCGGAUCUCAUCUGAUCUUAGAAGCUAAGCAGGGUCGGGCCUGGUUAGUGCUUGGAUUGGAGAAUCACUGCCAUACUGCACC